AUAGUUUGGGGUACUGGCAAACUCGCCCUGAAGGCUCGCGGGGGGAAUGGAGGCCGGAGGUUCAGCCAGUUCUGUGUCAUCAGGACUCUGAGACUAAACUUGGCCCUGUUACUUAGGACAUCCUCCAGCUGUUUAUUUGGACCCGAGGUAUUCACAGCUCCUGUAAAAUCAGAAACUUUGAACGUGAAGAUGCAGUAGCUUGGAAGUAUUGAAGAAUUCCCGAAACCACAGAGGGCGGAGUUAGAUCAGCUGAGAUUUAGGCAACUGCACAUACUAAAGCCUCAAGCUGUCGCCCUGGGUAGAGUGCUUCACAGCUCACAGCAACCUCAAACACCUGGACUCAAGUGAUUCUCCUGCCUCUGCCUCCCAAGUAGCUAGGACUACAGGCGUCCACCACAAGGUCCGUCUAUAUUUUGGUUGCAGCCAUCAUUGUUGUUUGGCGGGCCCAGGCUGGAUUCGAACCCACCAGCUCAGGUGUAUGUGGCUGGUGCCUUAGCUGCUUGAGCUACAGGCGCCGAGCCAGGAGAUUAACUUUUGAAUUAAAAAUGUUUUGGGUCGGUAGCUGGGACUACAGACUGGACACAGGGCCCAGCUAAUUUUUCUUUUUUUUUCUCUCUUUCUUUCUUUUUCUUUCUUUCUUUUUUUCUUUCCUUUCUUCUUUCUUGUUUAAAAAAUAAUAAAAAUAAAUGUUUUG